GGGAUCAUUCCCAUGCUUUCUUGCAAGUAAGUUGCUGACUGCAUUAGGUGAUGAAAUGGGAUUGCACCACUACCACCAGUAAGAGGUGUGGAUGAACCAGAUGCAGUAUGAGGGCUAGAUAUAGGAGAUGGAGAUAGCCUUCCACUCAUAUGUUGUGGGGACCUUGAAUUCAGAAGAGGGCUCUCAAUAGGUGAAACCUGACAUGACGCAUUCUUC
rnacentral:misc_RNA from 1 species